UUCCUUGUAGCUCAGUGGUAGAGUGGUUGGCUACUAAUAAAUUGGUUGUAGGUUCAAAUCCUACUUGGAGAG
rfam:Capsicum annuum cultivar Zunla-1 chromosome 6, whole genome shotgun sequence